AAUUUAUCAGCAUGCCUUUGAAAUUUCUAGUGAGAAGGGCUAUGUCAUUUUGGCUUUGGAUUUGUCUGUUGGUUUGGCUGCUCGGUUGGGGAUGGUUUUGGUCAAAGGCUGGGCUGCGGGGUUUGAUUUGGGGUCGGCUGAGGUGCUCUCUCUAGUGGGAGGUCGAUUGCUGGUGGUAGGUUGUUGUUCUUUUUUGCCUAUUUCUUUUUUGUUUCCUUCCCUCCACAUUGUUGUUCUUUUUUGUCUAUUUCUUUUUUGUUUCCUUCCCUGCACGUUGUUGUUGCCUGGAGCUUUCGUUGUGUUGGUCUUGGCUUCUUUCAGGUAUCCCUCGUAGCAGGUUGAUGUUUGGUGGUUCUUGUGCUUCAAUUUCGGUGGCUAAGGUUCUUCUUACUGAUUUCUUAAGACGUCUUGCAAUUCGUUUGCUUGCCUUGUUGGUUCAUUUUCUUUUGCUUAUUUAUUGUAAUAAGUAGAACCAUUUGGUCGUACGUUUUACUUAAAAGGUUCUAUUUUUAAAGAGCUUUUGGUUCUUUAAGGACUUGUAAUUUUAUUUUUAAUUUAACGCAUAGGCUUCUACGUGA